GACGAACGCUGGCGGCGUGCUUAACACAUGCAAGUCGAGCGGUAAGGCCCUUUCGGGGGUACACGAGCGGCGAACGGGUGAGUAACACGUGGGUGACCUGCCCUCAGCUCUGGGAUAAGCCUGGGAAACUGGGUCUAAUACUGGAUAUGACUCCACGGUGCAUGUCGUGGGGUGGAAAGCCUUGUGCGGCUGAGGAUGGGCCCGCGGCCUAUCAGCUUGUUGGUGGGGGAUGGCCUACCAAGGCGACGACGGGUAGCCGGCCUGAGAGGGCGACCGGCCACACUGGGACUGAGACACGGCCCAGACUCCUACGGGAGGCAGCAGUGGGGAAUCUUGCGCAAUGGGCGAAAGCCUGACGCAGCGACGCCGCGUGAGGGAUGACGGCCUCGGUGUAACG
rnacentral:rRNA from 1 species